rnacentral:rRNA from 1 species
UUGAACGCUGGCGGCAUGCUUUACACAUGCAAGUCGAACGGUAACAGGGAGCUUGCUCCGCUGACGAGUGGCGAACGGGUGAGUAAUGCAUCGGAACGUACCCAGUCGUGGGGGAUAACGUAGCGAAAGUUACGCUAAUACCGCAUACGUCCUGAGGGAGAAAGCGGGGGACCGUAAGGCCUCGCGCGAUUGGAGCGGCCGAUGUCGGAUUAGCUAGUUGGUGGGGUAAAGGCCUACCAAGGCGACGAUCCGUAGCGGGUCUGAGAGGAUGAUCCGCCACACUGGGACUGAGACACGGCCCAGACUCCUACGGGAGGCAGCAGUGGGGAAUUUUGGACAAUGGGGGCAACCCUGAUCCAGCCAUGCCGCGUGAGUGAAGAAGGCCUUCGGGUUGUAAAGCUCUUUCAGACGGAACGAAACGGUUCUCUUUAAUAAAGAGGGCUAAUGACGGUACCGUAAGAACAAGCACCGGCUAACUACGU